rnacentral:rRNA from 1 species
UAACCGCAUAACGUCGCAAGACCAAAGAGGGGGACCUUCGGGCCUCUUGCCAUCGGAUGUGCCCAGAUGGGAUUAGCUAGUAGGUGGGGUAAAGGCUCACCUAGGCGACGAUCCCUAGCUGGUCUGAGAGGAUGAACACACUGGAACUGAGACACGGUCCAGACUCCUACGGGAGGCAGCAGUGGGGAAUAUUGCACAAUGGGCGCAAGCCUGAUGCAGCCAUGCCGCGUGUAAAGAAGGCCUUCGGGUUGUAAAGUACUUUCAGCGGGGAGGAAGGGAGUAAAGUUAAUACCUUUGCUCAUUGACGUUACCCGCAGAAGAAGCACCGGCUAACUCCGUGAGCAGCCGCGGUAAUACGGAGGGUGCAAGCGUUAAUCGGAAUUACUGGGCGUAAAGCGCACGCAGGCUUUGUUAAGUCAGAUGUGAAAUCCCCGGGCUCAACCUGGGAACUGCAUCUGAUACUGGCAAGCUUGACUCGUAGAGGGGUAGAAUUCCAGGUGUAGCGGUGAAAUGCGUAGAGAUCUGGAGGAAUACCGGUGGCGAAGGCGGCCCUGGACGAAGACUGACGCUCAGGUGCGAAAGCGUGGGGAGCAAACAGGAUUAGAUACCCUGAGUCCACGCCGUAAACGAUGUCGACUUGGAGGUUGUGCCCUUGAGGCGUGGCUUCCGGAGCUAACGCGUUAAGUCGACCGCCUGGGGAGUACGGCCGCAAGGUUAAAACUCAAAUGAAUUGACGGGGGCCCGCACACGGUGGAGCAUGUGGUUUAAUUCGAUGCAACGCGAAGAACCUUACCUGGUCUUGACAUCCACGGAAGUUGAGAUGAGAAUGUGCCUUCGGGAACCGUGAGACAGGUGCUGCAUGGCUGUCGUCAGCUCGUGUUGUGAAAUGUUGGGUUAAGUCCCGCAACGAGCGCAACCCUUAUCCUUUGUUGCCAGCGGUCCGGCCGGGCUCAAAGGAGACUGCCAGUGAUAAACUGGAUGAAGGUGGAUGA